UACGUAGGGGCCGAGCGUUGUCCGGAGUUAUUGGGCGUAAAGCGCGCGCAGGCGGCUUGGCGCGCCGACGUGAAAGCCCCCGGCUUAACCGGGGAGAGUCGUCGGGGACGGCCGGGCUUGAGGGCGGGAGAGGGUGGUGGAAUUCCCGGUGUAGUGGUGAAAUGCGUAGAGAUCGGAAGGAACGCCCGUGGCGAAAGCGAGGUCCUGGACGUCAUCUGACGCUGAGACGCGAAAGCUAGGGAGCGAACGGG
rnacentral:rRNA from 1 species